UACAGAGGGUGCAAGCGUUGUUCGGAAUUAUUGGGCGUAAAGCGCGUGUAGGCGGCUUUGCAAGUCGGGUGUGAAAGCCCUCGGCUCAACCGAGGAAGUGCGCCCGAAACUGCAGAGCUUGAGUACCGGAGAGGAUGGCGGAAUUCCCCAAGUAGAGGUGAAAUUCGUAGAUAUGGGGAGGAACACCGGUGGCGAAGGCGGCCAUCUGGACGGAUACUGACGCCGAGACGCGAAAGCGUGGGGAGCAAACAGG
rnacentral:rRNA from 1 species